rnacentral:rRNA from 1 species
UGGGGAAUAUUGCACAAUGGGCGCAAGCCUGAUGCAGCCAUGCCGCGUGUGUGAAGAAGGCCUUCGGGUUGUAAAGUACUUUCAGCGGGGAGGAAGGGAGUAAAGUUAAUACCUUUGCUCAUUGACGUUACCCGCAGAAGAAGCACCGGCUAACUCCGUGCCAGCAGCCGCGGUAAUACGGAGGGUGCAAGCGUUAAUCGGAAUUACUGGGCGUAAAGCGCACGCAGGCGGUUUGUUAAGUCAGAUGUGAAAUCCCCGGGCUCAACCUGGGAACUGCAUCUGAUACUGGCAAGCUUGAGUCUCGUAGAGGGGGGUAGAAUUCCAGGUGUAGCGGUGAAAUUCGUAGAGAUCUGGAGGAAUACCGGUGGCGAAGGCGGCCCCCUGGACGAAGACUGACGCUCAGGUGCGAAAGCGUGGGGAGCAAACAGG